rnacentral:rRNA from 1 species
GACGAACGCUGGCGGCGUGCUUAACACAUGCAAGUCGAACGGUGAAGCGCCUUCCUUUUUGGUGGGUGUGGAUGAGUGGCGAACGGGUGAGUAACACGUGAGUAACCUGCCCCCUUCUUCUGGAUAACCGCAUGAAAGUGUGGCUAAUACGGGAUAUUCUGUGCCUGUCGCUUGAUGGGUCUGGGAAAGUUAUUGUUUCGGUGGGGGAUGGGUCCGCGCCUCAUCAGCUUGUUGGGGGGGUGAUGGCCUACCAAGGCGGUGACGGGUAGCCGGCCUGGGGGGGUGGACGGUCACACUGGGGCGGAGCGACGGCCCAGACUCCUACGGGAGGCAGCAGUGGGGAAUAUUGCACAAUGGGCGCAAGCCUGAUGCAGCGACGCCGCGUGAGGGAUGGAGGCCGUCGGGUUGUGAACCUCUUUCGCCAGUGAAGCAGGCCUGCCUCGUUUGUGGGUGGGUUGACGGUAGCUGGAUAAGAAGCGCCGGCUAACUACGUG